GACAGAGGGUGCAAACGUUGUUCGGAAUUACUGGGCGUAAAGCGCGUGUAGGCUGCUCAGCAAGUUGGAUGUGACAGCCCUGGGCUUAACCUAGGAAGUGCAUUCAAAACUACUGAGCUGGAGUCCUGGAGAGGAAGGCGGAAUUCUCGGUGUAGAGGUGAAAUUCGUAGAUAUCGAGAGGAACACCGGUGGCGAAGGCGGCCUUCUGGACAGUGACUGACGCUGAGACGCGAAAGCGUGGGGAGCAAACAGG
rnacentral:rRNA from 1 species